UCAAAAAAUAUGGCCUUUUAUUGUCUUGGAUGCAAAUAUAGUUUUCAAACUGCAUUGUAGUGUUGAAUACAGCUGGUGGAAAGGUGCUUCUCAACAGCGGAGCAUAAACGGCCUUGCUCUGGAUGGCGCAGGCCUGAGGCUUGGGGCCUCCGGUGAGCAAGACUCUUCUUGGGUUUUGUUUUUCUGCCCACGAGGGGUGACUGUUUGCUACAGAAGCCCUGACACAGUCACCGGAGCUCACAAGAGAAAAAAAUGAACCAUUUACACAAUGAACUGAAAGCAGAAAAAGGAAAAGAACGUGCUGUUUCAGCUGUGGCGUUACAGAAGAAGCCCACAAACACGAGUGUGAACAGAUUCAGAUAAAGCAGCAGCAAGGGCGCCGAGGGAGGGGCCUCGUGCCAGUUCCCUCGGGGACACACAGCCUCGGCUCCAUGUCUCCUACCUUUUAACUGCAGGAAGGAAACUUUAUGGAAAUGUAUCGAACUUCAGUUUCUCCCAACCCUCUCCACCACCUCAACUCUUGAGGAUGGCACCUCUCUGUUCACAUACCCAGGAGAGAAUUCUUCCAAUUAGCGACACCCAGGGUUGACUCUGGAACCAAAAGGUUGACUGGGAGAUAAAAGCGAAUUUUGCUACAUAAUUGUCAAGGUAUUUCACAAAAAUAAAAUCCAUUAAAAACACCCACAAACACGCACACACACACACACACACAGAGCCAACAUUCAACAGGAAAAGUUCCCUUUUCUUUCUCAAAGGCUGAUUUUUACAAGCCUCGACAGGAACGGCCCCCACGUGGUGAGCUGGGAAAGCCAAGGCCUCAGAAGGGAAAGACAAUGGGGCAGGUGAUGGAGGGGAUGUGGUGAAAAUCUUUAAUAUACAAGGCAUCAGGGACAUCGAGCCAAAAACCAUGGCCCACCACUGCUGCGCACCCACCUCAGGGCUCGCCAGCUCCCUUCCUCGUUGUCAAGGCCACUGCAGAGGAAGCACUUUGCAAAGUGGCUCCGACAAGCAGCAGACCGGGCGGGUUUCACCUGCAGCAAAUCAAUCAGCGGAAGCAAGGCAUCUCUAGGGAAAGGCAAUUCCUCCACCAGAGAGAGGAGAGCAGCUAUACUCAGCUUAGUUAGGGGCCUGGAGCCGUGAGAGAGACAAAAGACGCAGGCAGAGCUAGAUGACCAUGGGAGGGGAAGAGCAUAGGGGUGCUGUGCCAAGGCUGCC
rnacentral:lncRNA from 1 species